UCCGGGGGGAAACGGGCCCUAUUUGGCUAACAAAUUGGCGACUCCGCCGGGACUUCUCUCCCUGUAGAGGGCACUGACCGACGACCGAGGGCAAUUCCGAGGAGUGGCCACCUCGAGCUGUUGUUUGCUCGGGCCUCGGGUCGUCACAAUCGGUCGGGGCGGCUGUGUCCUCUCUAAAGAGAACUCCUAACGACACGGAGAUAAGACGGUACCAGAAGAAGGGGAAGGUCCAACAGCCGGACGCGGCCACUCCGGGCGGCACACCAAAGAUUCACAGCCUCUUCUGCUGGAUACUCCGGGUCCACUCCCUGCAGCCUAGUGACUCCGUUCUCGUGCGAACCUGGAAGGACGAGCCUCUCCAAGAGAAGUGGAAGGGACUCCACACCAUCCUGCUUGUCACCCAUACAGUGGCAAAGGUCAAAGGACACAAGAACUGGAUUCAUCACUCUCGACUAAAAGCAGUGCCCACUCCUGAACGGUGGACUGUCCAGCCUGCGGAGAAGACUGCUAACGACGAUUUGGGACUUAGGUCGCUAUUCAAAAGACAGUAAGGGUCGCUGGGAAUGCGUUGUGAUCUUUCUGAAUAGUCACGGCAUACUCCCCACGAGAACCCUGAGCAUUGGUUUUAUUUUCAUUGAUAAUCCUGAUUGCAUGGCCCUUAAUCGCAUUUUGUCUUUAGAGUAUGAGAAAACUCUGACAAAGGUUUGUUGAGUGUUCUCAAAGGGGGGAUUGUUGGGAUCCACUAGGCAUAGCUGCCAGGUAACUCGGGAGAGUGGAAAGCCAAGGUGUCGAUGAAACUCUUUUGCUCUGGGCCUAUCUGAAACUCCAGACUCCAUCUUGUGAAUUCUCAUUUACUUCUGUGCUAACUGCUUACAUGUUAAAGCAGAAAUGUAUUGGUCAGCGUUUCUAGCAAAUGGCUGCAGUUUCACUCACACUAGCAGAAAUAAUAGAGAUAAGGAGGAGGGAACAGAGAGAGAUAGUUAGUUUGUAGUUGCUUUCCCAUAUAUCCCCAAGGCAUUUAGUGCAAAGGGUCAAGGGAUGUACCUUGUUCUCCCUUCAAAAUGACAAAUGUAUCCGCAACAGAUGUCUCUUGUAUCCCCUUCCCCAAAAUAAUAUGUAUUCUGUGUAACCUAUUAUCUAUCGGUCAGCAUAAUGACGCAAAAGAAUGAAUGCUAAGUUGUUUGUCUCUCUGUAUAAAAGAGCUCAGUUGUGCUUGUAAGGUGUGUCUCUUCUGGCAUAAGUUGAGGAGCACCCUCUCAGCUGACUGACAAAUAAAGGACCUGGUACCCGU